CGCGCGGAGAGGAGCGUCGGGCGGCCGCGGGCGCAGUGGCGGCAUGUGAGGUGACCGCCUCGUCCUCCGGAUUCUGAGAGGUGUGCGGUGUGGACCCGCCCCUGGUACCUGGGCGUGAGUCCCGGGUUGUGACGGCGUGUGUGUACAGUCCUGACUGCAGUCGCAGUGUGGACUCUCCCCGCCGUCGAACAAUGACCCCACUGGCGUGUGCUACGAUCCACCCUAAUUCUGACCCUAUCUCGCUGGCGACGGCUCAGCCCCCAGGACGGCGCCCACCCUCCUCCCCCACCGGACCCCAGUUCCAGGUCUGUAGGUCAGAGUUUCUGGGGACCCUCCUCCGAGGGCUUAAUAUGCCAAGGGCGGAUCACAGACCUGGGAGAGGCGUCUUACUUACCAGUCACCAGCGUUACAAAAGGUCGUAACCCAGAAAUGGCCCUGGAAGAGGUGCACAGGGUGAAGCUUCCACUCUUCCAGCGCCUCCACGCGUUCACCGACCCGGAAGCGCUCUGAACCGCGUCCUUUUUCGGAAGAGGCUACACCGCAAAGGCACUCUGGAUGAAACCAUUGGCCAAUGGUGAUGGAACUCAAUUUCCAGCCCCUCUCCCUGGCACCGAGAGAGAGAGAAUAUCUCAAGCAGUCUCUGUACUGGGAGUCUGAUGAGGGUCUCAAUCCCAUGACCCUGACACCAUGACCUGAGCGGAAAUCAAGAAUCGGAUCCUCAACUGAUUAAGCCACCCAGGUGCCCCUAUAAUUUUGAUGUUCAUUUUUAACUUUGUUUUGAAAUUGUACAAAUUUCAUAAUUUUCAUUCAUGUUUUCCUUUUUACCCUAGAGUUGUUUAAUGGAAAUGUUUUAUAAUUUCCUGUUGUAAGCAUCCUUUAUUUAGGUUUUCAUGUUCUCCUUUAAAUCUCUUCAUUUCUUGCAUUGUGAGCAUAAAUGACACUUGUAAUUUCAAUUUUUGGACAUACUGAUGCAUUCUUUGUAACCUAACCGAAUAUAUGGUCAUUUAAAAAAGAUUCUGUUCCUCACCCUGAAUAGGAAAAUUUUGAAGAAAUAAAGGCUGAGAUAGGCUGUCCCAAAGGUUUCCCUGGGAAGGCUAUUAAUCUUUGGUCAGAUCCCCGGAAGUCAGGAGAAAUCAUGGCAGCCCAGCCAGGCUCCACCUUUUGGCCUACACGAACAUCCUUCAAUAUAAACUUGCUCAGGAAAGCAGAACUGAGAAGAAACAGACCAAGUUGUUAACAGUGGCCAUCUAUAUAGAAUAUCAGUUAUUUUCGGGGUGCCUGGGUGGCUCAAGUGUCGGUGGCUCAGGUGUUGGUUAAGUGUCGGACUCUUGAGUUCAGCUCGGGUCAGGAUCUUACAGUUUGUGAGACCGAGCCCCACAUGGGGCUCUGCGCUGACAGUGAGGAGCCUGCUUGGGAUUCUCUCUCCGUCUCUCUCUC